AUGUGAGCGAAUUAUGUAAUCGAUUGAAGCAAUUUUUCUCAAUUGCAUAAAUAAUAAUAUUAUUUAAUCGGGAAUGAAUUGAGAUAUCUUAGAAAAUAAUUUUUUUAUUUUUCUAAGACAUCACGUUCUCUAAGAUAUCUGAAAUGUUUUCUUGCGUAAAGAACCGAUAGGUAGUAAGGCACCUUCCGUCACGGGUGACGCGAAACGAUGGCUGCAGACUAAAUCAACGACUGGAUUCGCGAUGCAGUGCCAAGCGCAGGGUCACCCAGUACCAUCGUUCAGGUAGAGCGUUUUCUGCGCCCUUUAUCGAUCGCCAAUUUGUGCGUCAUUAAUAGGAAUUUAUGGUACUGACAGAAUGGUUGUAAAAGGCUAUCAAGGCUUGUUUUACUUUUAUCGAGAGCUUUAUUUUCAUGUGAAUGAAAAACGCGAAUUUUUCGCGGCAAUUUGUUUUCUUUUCUUCAAUAAAAUUCGUAUUUUGGCAUACGAUUUUUGUAUUGCUAGAACCGAUGGGAGCGAAAGGACCGAAAUUCUCGAGCGAUGAUCGCGUCCACUCGUUUAUACGCGCUGCAGGAAACGCAUCAAGUUUGCAAUGUCCUGCGCAGGGGUUCCCCGUGCCGUCGUUCAGGUAAUUAAGAGAAUGAAGAAUUCUCAGAGGAUUCAGAGAGAGCAUCCUUUUUCAUUUCGCUCCAGAGCCCGUGGGAUCGAAGGUGCCCGCCUUUCAGAGCGACGCGAAAAGUAGCACUUACGUAAGAAACGCGAAAUCAUCGCUCGCGCUAACUUGUGCCGCUCAAGCAUCGCCACCUCCGACUCACAGAGCCAGCAGGUCGUGUGUCCCCAAAAUUCCCGAAAUCGGCAAAAUCCGAUUCUUUUGAAGUGGCGAACGGUGAUGUGAUAAGUUUAUUGUGCGAUGCACAGGCAUUCCCUGCUCCCGCAUUUAGAACCAGCAGGUCGUGUGGCCCCAAAAUUCCCGAAAAUGGCAAAGUCCAAUUCUUUCGAAAUAGC